CCCUUAGAUGUUCUGGGCCGCGCACGCGCUACACUGAAGGAGGCAGCGUGUACUCCUGGAUCGAAAGAUUUGGGUAACCCGCGAAUCUCCUUCGUGCUAGGGAUUGAGGUUUGCAAUUAUCCUUCAUGAACGAGGAAUUCCCAGUAAGUGCAAGUCAUAAGCUUGCGCUGACUACGUCCCUGCCCUUUGUACACACCGCCCGUCGCUACUACCGAUUGAAUGAUUUAGUGAGGACUUCGGACUGGGACCGAUGCGGCUUUCGGGCUGCGUCGGUAUUCUGGAAAGAUGUCCAAACUGUAUCAUUUAGAGGAAGUAAAAGUCGUAACA
rnacentral:rRNA from 1 species